GGGCCCGCACAAGCGGUGGAGUAUGUGGUUUAAUUCGAUGCAACGCGAAGAACCUUACCAGGGUUUGACAUCCUGCGAAUCUCUUGGAAACGAGAGAGUGCCUUCGGGAACGCAGUGACAGGUGGUGCAUGGCUGUCGUCAGCUCGUGUCGUGAGAUGUUGGGUUAAGUCCCGCAACGAGCGCAACCCACGUCGUUAGUUGCCAGCAUUUAGUUGGGCACUCUAGCGAGACCGCCGGUGAUAAACCGGAGGAAGGUGUGGAUGACGUCAAGUCCUCAUGGCCCUUACGGGUUGGGCUACACACGUGCUACAAUGGUGGUGACAAUGGGUUAAUCCCAAAAGCCAUCUCAGUUCGGAUUGGGGUCUGCAACUCGACCCAUGAAGUCGGAAUCGCUAG
rnacentral:rRNA from 1 species